rnacentral:rRNA from 1 species
GACGAACGCUGGCGGCGUGCUUAACACAUGCAAGUCGAACGGAAAGGCCCCCUUGUGGGGUACUCGAGUGGCGAACGGGUGAGUAACACGUGAGUAACCUACCCUUGACUUUGGGAUAACUUCAGGAAACUGGGGCUAAUACCGGCUAGGAGCUCCUGCUGCAUGGUGGGGGUUGGAAAGUUUCGGCGGUUGGGGAUGGACUCGCGGCUUAUCAGCUUGUUGGUGGGGUAGUGGCUCACCAAGGCUUUGACGGGUAGCCGGCCUGAGAGGGUGACCGGCCACAUUGGGACUGAGAUACGGCCCAGACUCCUACGGGAGGCAGCAGUGGGGAAUAUUGCACAAUGGGCGGAAGCCUGAUGCAGCAACGCCGCGUGCGGGAUGACGGCCUUCGGGUUGUAAACCGCUUUCGCCUGUGACGAAGCGUGAGUGACGGUAAUGGGUAAAGAAGCACCGGCUAACUACGUG